GCAGUCGACGAGUUCUCGUUGAUGAUCGGUGCUUGCACCGAGAUUCAACAUGGAACGAGUGGCGGACGGGUGAGUAACACGUGGGUAACCUGCCCUUAAGUGGGGGAUAACAUUUGGAAACAGAUGCUAAUACCGCAUAGAUCCAAGAACCGCAUGGUUCUUGGCUGAAAGAUGGCGUAAGCUAUCGCUUUUGGAUGGACCCGCGGCGUAUUAGCUAGUUGGUGAGGUAAUGGCUCACCAAGGCGAUGAUACGUAGCCGAACUGAGAGGUUGAUCGGCCACAUUGGGACUGAGACACGGCCCAAACUCCUACGGGAGGCAGCAGUAGGGAAUCUUCCACAAUGGACGCAAGUCUGAUGGAGCAACGCCGCGUGAGUGAAGAAGGCUUUCGGGUCGUAAAACUCUGUUGUUGGAGAAGAAUGGUCGGCAGAGUAACUGUUGUCGGCGUGACGGUAUCCAACCAGAAAGCCACGGCUAACUACGUGCCAGCAGCCGCGGUAAUACGUAGGUGGCAAGCGUUAUCCGGAUUUAUUGGGCGUAAAGCGAGCGCAGGCGGUUUUUUAAGUCUGAUGUGAAAGCCCUCGGCUUAACCGAGGAAGCGCAUCGGAAACUGGGAAACUUGAGUGCAGAAGAGGACAGUGGAACUCCAUGUGUAGCGGUGAAAUGCGUAGAUAUAUGGAAGAACACCAGUGGCGAAGGCGGCUGUCUGGUCUGUAACUGACGCUGAGGCUCGAAAGCAUGGGUAGCGAACAGGAUUAGAUACCCUGGUAGUCCAUGCCGUAAACGAUGAAUGCUAGGUGUUGGAGGGUUUCCGCCCUUCAGUGCCGCAGCUAACGCAUUAAGCAUUCCGCCUGGGGAGUACGACCGCAAGGUUGAAACUCAAAGGAAUUGACGGGGGCCCGCACAAGCGGUGGAGCAUGUGGUUUAAUUCGAAGCAACGCGAAGAACCUUACCAGUCUUGACAUCUUUUGAUCACCUGAGAGAUCAGGUUUCCCCUUCGGGGGCAAAAUGACAGGUGGUGCAUGGUUGUCGUCAGCUCGUGUCGUGAGAUGUUGGGUUAAGUCCCGCAACGAGCGCAACCCUUAUGACUAGUUGCCAGCAUUUAGUUGGGCACUCUAGUAAGACUGCC
rnacentral:rRNA from 1 species